AAAAAAAAAAAAAACUUAGAUAAAUAGAAUAAUGAAAUUCAAGAGAUUAUGCAGAGAGAAAAUUAUUUUUGCUGUGUCAAAUGAAAACAUUGUUUUUGAACUUCUUUCUUUUACAUUUUAUUUUGACAUAAUUUCAGACUGACAAAAAAGUAAAAGGAAAAUGGCUCUGUACCUCCCCAGAGUUUGCCAGACUGUGAAGCUGGGGUCACCGUCCUCCACACUGCUAGGUCUGUCCGAGACCUUUUACCUCAACUGGAAGGAGUGAGUUAGAGUCCAGAAAGAUGAAUGUAUUCUGGAAUUGGAUAGUGCUGAUUAUACAACCUUGUGAAUAUACAAGAUCCAAUGAACUGCACUUUAAAAGGGUCUACCUUCAGGGUAAAUUUCUGGAAGUGGGAAUGUUGUGUCAGAAUGUAAACGCGUAUGUGAUCUUGCUGAAAAUUGCUAAGAUCCAAGAAGGUUGUACCAAUGUGUAUGCCCACUGCAGUCAGCGUAUGACAGAGGCCUAUUUUCCCAUGACCUCUUUGUGACAGUAAGAUGGUUCUGGAGGCUGGGAAGUACAAGAUUAAGGUUCUGGCAGAUUUCGUGUCUGGUAAGGGCCCAUCCCUCACUCAUCAUGCCUUCUUGCUGAGUCCUCACAUGGUGGAAGGGGCAGACAGGCUCCCUUGGACCUCAUUUUUAUAAGUUAUUUACUAAGCCGGUUAAGGAAUACAGAAUGGGUGCAUAUGUUGUCGACUAUUCAGACUUUUUCAGAGAGUAAUUUUCUGUUCUUCAUUGUGGAACAUAACAAGGACCCACACUGACCUGUGAUCAUAAAUAGGGGCUACAUGCAUAACUGGAAAUACUUCAAAAGCAAUUUGGAUCAUCAAGCCGUCAUUUUCCUUUUCCCAAUUAUUUUCCAUCUUGACAACGCGGACCUCAAAUUGAAUGCUUUACAAAAGAGAGAAGGUGCUGAGCUGUUCAUCUUCCCACAUAAGGAAAAACAAAGAGGACUGGCUUGGAUUUCAGGAAGUAAGUUUAAGGCCACACAUCAGGAUUUCCUGACAGUUAACUCCCAG